AGAGUUUGAUCCUGGCUCAGGACGAACGCUGGCGGCACGCUUAACACAUGCAAGUCGAACGGAGAACAUUGAGCUUGCUUAAUGUUCUUAGUGGCGGACGGGUGAGUAACACGUGAGUAACCUGCCUCUGAGAGUGGGAUAGCUUCUGGAAACGGAUGGUAAUACCGCAUAACAUCAUGGAUUCGCAUGUUUCUAUGAUCAAAGAUUUAUCGCUCAGAGAUGGACUCGCGUCUGAUUAGAUAGUUGGUGAGGUAACGGCCCACCAAGUCGACGAUCAGUAGCCGGACUGAGAGGUUGACCGGCCACAUUGGGACUGAGACACGGCCCAGACUCCUACGGGAGGCAGCAGUGGGGAAUAUUGCACAAUGGGGGAAACCCUGAUGCAGCGAUGCCGCGUGGAGGAAGAAGGUUUUCGGAUUGUAAACUCCUGUCGAAGAGGACGAUAAUGACGGUACUCUUUAAGAAAGCUCCGGCUAACUACGUGCCAGCAGCCGCGGUAAUACGUAGGGAGCGAGCGUUGUCCGGAAUUACUGGGCGUAAAGGGAGCGUAGGCGGGAUGGCAAGUCAGAUGUGAAAACUAUGGGCUCAACCCAUAGACUGCAUUUGAAACUGUUGUUCUUGAGUGAGGUAGAGGUAAGCGGAAUUCCUGGUGUAGCGGUGAAAUGCGUAGAGAUCAGGGGGAACAUCGGUGGCGAAGGCGGCUUACUGGGCCUUUACUGACGCUGAGGCUCGAAAGCGUGGGGAGCAAACAGGAUUAGAUACCCUGGUAGUCCACGCCGUAAACGAUGAUUACUAGGUGUGGGGGGACUGACCCCUUCCGUGCCGCAGUUAACACAAUAAGUAAUCCACCUGGGGAGUACGGCCGCAAGGCUGAAACUCAAAGGAAUUGACGGGGGCCCGCACAAGCAGUGGAGUAUGUGGUUUAAUUCGAAGCAACGCGAAGAACCUUACCAGGUCUUGACAUCGAGUGACGAACUUAGAGAUAAGUUCUUCCUUCGGGACACGAAGACAGGUGGUGCAUGGUUGUCGUCAGCUCGUGCCGUGAGGUGUCGGCUUAAGUGCCAUAACGAGCGCAACCCUUGUUGUCAGUUACUAACAGGUUUCGCUGAGGACUCUGACAAGACUGCCAUCGUAAGAUGUGAGGAAGGUGGGGAUGACGUCAAAUCAGCACGGCCCUUACGUCCGGGGCUACACACGUGUUACAAUGGGGGGUACAGAGGGCCGCUACCACGCGAGUGGAUGCCAAUCCCAAAAACCUCUCUCAGUUCGGACUGGAGUCUGCAACCCGACUCCACGAAGCUGGAUUCGCUAGUAAUCGCGCAUCAGCCACGGCGCGGUGAAUACGUUCCCGGGCCUUGUACACACCGCCCGUCA
rnacentral:rRNA from 1 species